rnacentral:rRNA from 1 species
AGUGAACGCUGGCGGUAGGCCUAACACAUGCCAGUCGAACGGCAGCACAGUAAGAGCUUGCUCUUACGGGUGGCGAGUGGCGGACGGGUGAGGAAUACAUCGGAAUCUACUUUUUCGUGGGGGAUAACGUAGGGAAACUUACGCUAAUACCGCAUACGACCUACGGGUGAAAGCAGGGGAUCUUCGGACCUUGCGCGAUUGAAUGAGCCGAUGUCGGAUUAGCUAGUUGGCGGGGUAAAGGCCACCAAAGGCGACGAUCCGUAGCUGGUCUGAGAGGAUGAUCAGCCACACUGGAACUGAGACACGGUCCAGACUCCUACGGGAGGCAGCAGUGGGGAAUAUUGGACAAUGGGCGCAAGCCUGAUCCAGCCCUACCGCGUGGGUGAAGAAGGCCUUCGGGUUGUAAAGCCCUUUUGUUGGGAAAGAAAAGCAGCAGGUUAAUACCCCGCUGUUCUGACGGUACCCAAAGAAUAAGCACCGGCUAACUUCGUG